rnacentral:rRNA from 1 species
GAGGUAGCCAACACUGUAUAUAUAUAUAUAUAUAUAUAUAUAUAUAUAUAUAUAUUUUUUUAAUUGGGGUAGCCCCCAAAAUAUUGGGACAUAUAAAAAAAGACAACUUUUGUUCCGCAGAGUAGCUGUUGACAUUAUAGUUGCGCAGGAACUUUGUUGACUAGAGAACCUCGGGCAAAUCGCACAUCCCCGUGGCGGCAACUUUGCAUGCGGAUGUCAUCCAUUUUAACUUUCGAUGCCAGUUUCUGCGCCUACCAUGGUGACCACGGGUAAUGGGGAAUCAGGGUUCCAUUCCGUACAGGGACCCUGAGAAACAGCUACCACAUGCAAGGAAGGCAGCAGGCACGCAAAUGACCCACUCCCGAUGCGGGAAGGUAG